rnacentral:rRNA from 1 species
AUACGUAGGGUGCGAGCGUUAAUCGGAAUUACUGGGCGUAAAGCGUGCGCAGGCGGAUUGUUAAGCAAGAUGUGAAAUCCCCCGGGCUUAACCUGGGAAUGGCAUUUUGAACUGGCAGUCUAGAGUGCGUCAGAGGGGGGUGGAAUUCCACGUGUAGCAGUGAAAUGCGUAGAGAUGUGGAGGAACACCAAUGGCGAAGGCAGCCCCCUGGGAUGACACUGACGCUCAUGUACGAAAGCGUGGGUAGC